UGGGGAAUUUUGGACAAUGGGGGGAAACCCUGAUCCAGCCAUCCCGCGUGUGCGAUGAAGGCCUUCGGGUUGUAAGCACUUUUGGCAGGAAAGAAACGUCGCGGGUUAAUACCCCGCGAAACUGACGGUACCUGCAGAAUAAGCACCGGCUAACUACGUGCCAGCAGCCGCGGUAAUACGUAGGGUGCAAGCGUUAAUCGGAAUUACUGGGCGUAAAGCGUGCGCAGGCGGUUCGGAAAGAAAGAUGUGAAAUCCCAGAGCUUAACUUUGGAACUGCAUUUUUAACUACCGGGCUAGAGUGUGUCAGAGGGAGGUGGAAUUCCGCGUGUAGCAGUGAAAUGCGUAGAUAUGCGGAGGAACACCGAUGGCGAAGGCAGCCUCCUGGGAUAACACUGACGCUCAUGCACGAAAGCGUGGGGAGCAAACAGGAUUAGAUACCCUGGUAGUCCACGCCCUAAACGAUGUCAACUAGCUGUUGGGGCCUUCGGGCCUUGGUAGCGCAGCUAACGCGUGAAGUUGACCGCCUGGGGAGUACGGUCGCAAG
rnacentral:rRNA from 1 species